AGUCAGUCCACGGGAAAGCAUUCUCAGUGCUUUCCUAUGGACACUGGCAUCGUCUCACUGUGAAAAUCACAAUGAGAAGCGCCUCUAGCGGCUGGAUUAACCCUAUUAUAAACAUAGCAGUUUCUCUGAAACCGCUAUGUUUAUAGAAAAAAGGGUUAAUUCUAACUGGACCUGGCACCCACACCACUUCAUUAAGCUGAAGUGCUCUGGGUGCCUAGAGUGGUCCUUUAAUAUCUGCCCAUGAAGUCCAGCACUCAUUAUAG